rnacentral:rRNA from 1 species
GACGAACGCUGGCGGUGUGCUUAACACAUGCAAGUCGAACGGCAAGGCCCUGCUUUUGUGGGGUGCUCGAGUGGCGAACGCGUGCGUAACACGAGUGUAACCUGCCCUUGUCUUUGGGAUAACUUCAGGAAAGUGGGGUUAAUACCGGAUAGGAGCCCCUGCUGCAUGGUGGGGGUUGGAAAGUCUCGGCGGGUGGGGAUGGACUGGCGGCUUAUCGGCUUGUUGGUGGGGUAGGGGCUUACCAAGGCUUUGACGGGUAGCCGGCCUGGGAGGGUGAACGGCCACAUUGGGACUGCGAUACGGACCAGACUCGUACGGGAGGCAGCGGUGGGGAAUAUUGCACAAUGGGCGGAAGCCUGAUGCGGCAGCGCCGCGUGCGGGAUGACGGCCUUUGGGGUGUGAACCGCUUUCGCCUGUGACGAAGCGUGAGUGACGGUAAUGGGUAAAGAAGCACCGGCUAACUACGUG